UUGUGAUUCCCUGGUGAUGUUUGGUUCUUGCUCGGCUUUGGUGGUUGCUUGAAGCACGUCCGCUUUCAAGAGAUGCACUCAUUCGCUUGCCGCUGACCUGCGGAUGUAUAAUGAAAUGUGGGUCUAUGUGUCGUAUCAGAGGAUUCGCUGCCAAUUCAACUUCUUUCUCAGACUGGGGCUUGUUUCCAGAAGUGAUUAGACGCGAUGCAAUCUUCCUUUGCAACCGAUAGCGACGUCACGAGGUCCUUCUUCGUGGUACCACUUGCAGAACUUUCAAUCUGGAAUCUGUUACAGUUUAGCAUAUUAGAUUUCUGCAGAAAAGUCAUUUGCAAUUAUGUAAUAUCAACCUCAUUCAAAUACUUAUGUCUCUACUGCUUAUCACAAAAAUGCUCAGAGAUAAGUACUAUGAAUAACAGACUUAUAAGUUUACAUUUAUAAAUCUAAGUGAGAUGUAUGUACAACUCAAUGCAAAUUUAAUACAAUGCACAAAUUCAGUUUAAUUUUUAAAUUUACACAUGUAUUGGUCUUGCGGCUCAAGGAAACCUGGCAUACUCUGUGGAUACAUAGGUGACCAAACGUACCAUACGCGGUGCUGCAAAUCCAUAGAGGUAGUCCUGUUGAGCUUUGAAUGGUGUUGAUUUGAAAGCUAACUUGGUUUAUUACGCUUGUGAUUUGGUUUAGAAAUCAAUGAAUUCUUUCAGGUAUACAUGUUUAACUUAUCUUCUGCUCUGCGUAAUGGCUAAUUGGGAGAUCGCAGCUUGGUACUUCUUGCUAGCUUACAUACCUACCGUUCUCCUGGGUGGUAUAGGGGUCCUAAUGCUGGCUUCAUUCUACUAUAUCACUGAUAUAACGAAUGAGAAUGAACGAGCAUGGCAUCUGGCUUGGUUGGAUGCGUCGAUGAACGCUAGCAUUUUAUGUUGUAACUAUUGUGUUACUAAUAUGCAUUCAGACACAAAUGAAAAACAAUAAUGUAGCUUACACUUUAAUUACAGACAACGAUGACGCACUUGUUUCUUGAGUAUUUUAUUAAAGAGUAUGUUUUAUUAAACGAAAACAAUCAUGAAAACGGAAGACGAACGAAAUGAUGAGCUGAAAACAGGUGAAGGAUAAUAUUGUAUUUAUUCAUAUUACCUUUCUAAAUUUCAAUUAUCGCAUCUAUUUUUUAUAGUAUUUUACAAUAUUCUUAAUUGUACGCAUAUUUAUCAUAUACUUGCAACUA